GGGGCUGCCCUGGUUUCGACGUGGGUUCGGAAUCGGCGUGGUGCAUGUCGAGCUUGAUUGGCGCUCGUAAAUCUGCAUUCAAAAAAACUAACUGCAAACGACGAACGUUUCGCACUCGCUGCUUAAUUGCCAGUGAGCCUUGCAACAGUUGGCCGAUGGGCUGGGCAAGGGGGUAUCGAGCAAUCGGUGCCUCCCGGCUGCAAGGAUAAUUACAUGGGCUGGUUCUGAUCCGGGUACCUUGGGUUGGGACGAGACAAUAGGGUACUGGCGGCCGGUAUAGCGUGCGACUGCGCGAUACCGGUGGCGAGACUUAAAUCAGACCGCUAAACAUGUAGAUCUGCCCGGUAAAGGCUUGCGGACGCGGGUUCAAUUCCCGCCAGCUCCACCA
rnacentral:tmRNA from 1 species